CCCGCGUGACCCGGGCGGACCGCGCGCUGCUGCCCGUGGCUGCGCAGGACCAGGACGGGCUGCAGGACGGGCCACUGGACAGUCCCCCGGAGGCGGCUGUGCCGGCCCAGCCGCCAGCCUUCCUUCCGUCGAUUUCCUUCCCGCGCUCGCCUCCUUUGUCUCCACCGCUCCCGGGUUUCAGGGUAGAUCCCAGGCCGGUAGUUUCUUGGAUCCUUUCGGUUGUGAGCGACAGAAAGAGCUCAGAGCGGCUGUAACAGGGACGGCGGCUAUCGCUUCUUUCCCUUUCCUCUGGCCAGCCUGACAGAGGGCACUCCGUCAGAGCCACCCUGACUCCUGCCCACUGACCAGCGGGGGCACUGACCAGCGGGGGCACUGACCUGCAGGGGGACCCAGGCCUGCCUGCCUGGGUGGGGAGAGGGAGGGGCUGCUGCUGGUCCGGAGGGAAGUGGAGGGCUGACCAGUGGCAGCAUGACCAGUGGGAGCUGGUCACUCUGGGAGGGGAGUCAGGGGGGCAGAGGUCUGGCUGUCGGCCUCUGGUCCUCAGCCCUGCUCCGCCCUCUAGAAGGGCCUGCUCCUGACACCGUCCCGUCAACUGGAUGCUCACAUUUGGCAGCAGCCAAGUAGGAGACCCAUGCAGAGCCCAGCCUGGCUUCCAGGUGGGCUAGUGGCUCAGCGGCCUUGUCCCAGGCCUGCUCUGCCCACCUCACCACUGGGCAGGCAGCCAGCUGGGGGGGAAGCCAUCAGUCAGAGGAACGUUCACAGCACACCUGCCACAGCGAUGGAGACAAAGGAGCAUCGCGCCUUGAGCAGCGGAGACGCGCAAGGCUGACGGCAGGUGCAGAGCAGAUGUGGGCGCGGUGGUCUCCUACCCUGGAGAACCCAGCUGAGAGUCGCUGCCCUGCCCGCCGGCUGGCAGAGCCUCCAGCCUCCGGAGAGGUCCCCAACACGGCGUGGCCGCCCCAGCCAGGGGACACCAGUGUCCCACGAGGCCUUUCUUACUUUCAUGGAAGGCCCUGCAAAUGGCGGCCGUGAUGGGGGGCCGAGUACCAAGGGUAAGGGCCUAGGGCCUAAGCAGAGUCGAGGGCCCGGUGGGGGGCAGGGUGUGAGAGCUCAGACCCGGAGCCAGCUCCCAGAAGCCAGGAGGGCGAGCUUGUCCUGGCACCUGUUUCCUCGGGGGGCGUUCAGAGCCCUCUGUGAGCCCCACCUGGUACCCUGUCACCUCACCUCUGAGAGUGUGAUGGGGGCCAUGGCAUCUGACGCGUUGCCUGGAGCUUGGCAGCAGGAGCAGCUGGGAAACUGUUGCCCAGCCUUGGGGUCCGGCCCACCCUUCUCCAAGACCAGCAAGAGGAAGCCACUGUCCUGCUGGGCUGGAGGAGCUUUGCUCUUCCUGCCUCCCCCACAAAGGACUGUCCUCACCUCGGCGGUCCACACAACCAGGGAGGUGUGUAGCCCUGCCAGUCGUCAGCACCCCAGCUCCGAACCACAGGGCCCCCCUGCCCCGUGCACCGCUUGGCCUCACCUAUGCGGCGUGCUGACGCAGGAGCCUGACCGGCCAGGAGCUGCCCACGGUGAUCCCGGCUGGCUGACCCCGCCGGGCAGCCCAGGGGGAGAGGCUGGAAGCAGAGUGAACACGGCUCUUCGUCAGCUUAUUUUUAGCCAAGUUAUCCUCCAUCCAAGAGCAGGAUCUACCCAAUCAGAACUCUUCCUCUUCUUCCUGGAUUGAAGCACUUGUCACCAGUAACCAGAAAGUUCCAGAGCAGGAGAGACCAGAGGCGAGAGCCCCUGGGGACAGGCGUCAGGUUCGGGGCCUCGUCUUGCCCAUCCUUGGCCUCCCUGCUUCCUCCCUCCACCCCAGGUGUUCCGGGCAGCCGGCUGGCCAGAGUCACCAGGGAAAACUAUCCAAAUUGUGUCCAGAGUACUGUUUCCCGGCUCCCGGCCAGGCCCACAUUCUUUGUGCCUUGGCGUUAUCAGCAAGAAAGCUCGGAGGCGCCUGGGACUGGAGCACACAGGCGGGAGCCCUGCCUCCUGCAGCAGGAGGUCACCUCAGCACCUCUGGCACAGGUGGCUUUGUCCAGCGUAAAACGUGGAGCCAAGCUUCCUGACACGGUGGGGCCUGAGGUCCACAGAUGGGUUGUGGUAGAGAGUGGGUGCAGAAUCGAGGGGGAGUCAUCAGGAGCCGGUCACUGGGGCAUCGGCAGCAUCAACUGCCCCACGGGCUUGGGCAGAUUUUUGGUGUCUCCAGGCCCCACCUGUAAGUGGAGCCAGCAGGUAUCCGCUGCAGCAGAGCCUAUAGGCAGGAGUCCAGGUGUAAACAGGGCGGGAAAGGCCUGGAGAACUGGACCUGGCAUGCGGCGGCAGGCCCUCAGUGUUUCAGCCAUUACAGCUGCCCUGUCUACGGAACACCGAACGCCGUGUAGAAAGGCACACAGAAGCCCUCGGCUCUUAAGGGCAGGUUUUGCAUGGCGACUCCUUCCAGAGAGGAUGGAAGGGGAAACGCUGAGAAGAACUCCUCUGCCAGGUGAGCCAGGUCCUAAGAACAGCGAGAGCCUUGGUGCAAAGAGAAGGGCACCUCCCCCCGUGGUUUCCCCUGGAAACCAUCAUCCCAGUCUAACCGGGAGGGAAACGCUGGGCAAAGAAAUCCCCACAGGAAGGCGUCUGCACAGUCCCAACCCACACUCGGCACCCACAACGAGGAACUCCGAGACGGCCACCGCCCAGAGGAGCCCGCUGAGAUGUCAGUGACGACUGUCCCGUGGGACCCUGGAGCAGAAAGGGGACAACAAGCAAAAGGAAGGAAGCUUGAGGAGUGUGGACGGGGUAGCGACAAUGUAUCAGCUUGGGCUGGUCAAUGUAACAAACGUGACAAUGUAUCCAAGUUAGUGUAACAAAUGCACUGCUCUCACCAAAGACGUUACCAGCAGGGGAAAAGGGGCCUCCGGGCUGGGUAUACGCAACUAUUCUGUAAGUUUAGAAUCGUCCUCAAAUGGAAAGUUUCUGAAAAGUUUCUGAAAAGUAGGGCGAUAGUUGCUUGGACACACGCCUCUAUUUGGCCUACAGGUCUGAAGGACAGUGCCUGUCCUCACCCCGAAUGUGGUCCCUGGAGGGUCAGCGGGUGCAGUCAUCACCUGCUCCUGCGAGAGGCGCCAGGGCCCACUCUGCCGAGUGCGCAGGGCGGCUGCCAGCUGCCUGGCGCAGGGGGUCCCCCAGUCUGCAGCCCUGCCCACCACAGGAGGCUGUGAGGCACAUGGGCGCGGCCAGCCCAGAUUGGGGCUCUCACCUUCCUACCUCCCCUCUUUUACUUAGUUUUGCCCUUUCCUUCCAAACCUGCUCUCCCUUGACCUGAACAUGGUUCAAGGGCUUUCUUCUCUGAAACCAAAACACUGGCCAGUGUUCUCCUUCCGGAGCUCACACCUCCCCGCCUCCCUCUCCCCCAGGCGCGUUACCUUCACCUGCCUCUCUCCUGAGCUCCAAGGGUCCUUCUUUUGCCUCUGUAACUUUUUUCUUGAGCCAUUUCUUCUACCUGUGUGACUUUCUAAAUAAACUUUCUCUUGUUAAAAAAGCAAAA